rnacentral:rRNA from 1 species
UACGAAGGGAGCUAGCGUUGUUCGGAAUCACUGGGCGUAAAGCGCACGUAGGCGGAUGUGUCAGUCAGGGGUGAAAUCCCGGAGCUCAACUUCGGAACUGCCUUUGAUACAGCACAUCUGGAGUCCGGAAGAGGUGGGUGGAAUUCCUAGUGUAGAGGUGAAAUUCGUAGAUAUUAGGAAGAACACCGGUGGCGAAGGCGGCCCACUGGUCCGGUACUGACGCUGAGGUGCGAAAGCGUGGGAGCAGACAGG